rnacentral:rRNA from 1 species
ACGGAAGGCAGCAGUGGGGAAUAUUGCACAAUGGGCGGAAGCCUGAUGCAGCAACGCCGCGUGAGGGAAGACGGUUUUCGGAUUGUAAACCUCUGUCUUUGGUGACGAAGAAGUGACGGUAGCCAAGGAGGAAGCCACGGCUAACUACGUGCCAGCAGCCGCGGUAAUACGUAGGUGGCAAGCGUUAUCCGGAAUUACUGGGUGUAAAGGGAGCGCAGGCGGGAUAGCAAGUCAGCGGUGAAAAUUAUGGGCUUAACUCAUAAACUGCCGUUGAAACUGUUAUUCUUGAGUGGAGUAGAGGCAGGCGGAAUUCCGAGUGUAGCGGUGAAAUGCGUAGAUAUUCGGAGGAACACCAGUGGCGAAGGCGGCCUGCUGGGCUCUAACUGACGCUGAGGCUCGAAAGUGUGGGGAGCAAACAGGAUUAGAUACCCUGGUA